UACGUAGGGGGCAAGCGUUGUCCGGAUUUAUUGGGCGUAAAGAGCGUGUAGGCGGCCAGGUAGGUCGGUUGUGAAAACCAGAGGCUCAACCUCUAGACGUCGACCGAAACCAUCUGGCUAGAGUCCGGAAGAGGGGAGUGGAGUUCCUGGUGUAGCGGUGAAAUGCGCAGAUAUCAGGAAGAACACCCGUGGCGAAGGCGGCUCUCUGGGACGGUACUGACGCUGAGACGCGAAAGCGUGGGGAGCAAACAGG
rnacentral:rRNA from 1 species